rnacentral:miRNA from 1 species
UGUAAGGGGUAAGAUGUAAUCUCAAGGGUAAUUGUUGAAGCAAAAGCCUAGGGAUGUUGGCUUUUGCUUCAACAAUUACCCUUGAGAUUACAUCUUACCCCUUAU